AUGCCUUAAACUAAUGAGUAAGGAAAAUAAUGAACCUGGGUAGCGCCAGGUUCCAGAGUAUUUCUCUGAGGAAUUUGUGAAAGGGCACAGGUCGCCCCCACGGUGACCCGCCUACUUCAGCGGGAUGCCUGGGUAGAUGUGAUCUGCCUG
rfam:Crassostrea gigas strain 05x7-T-G4-1.051#20 contig4545, whole genome shotgun sequence.